UCGGGAAUUUUGGGCAAUGGGCGAAAGCCUGACCCAGCAACGCCGCGUGAGGGAUGAAGUAUUUCGGUAUGUAAACCUCGAAAGAAUGGGCAGAAUAAAUGACGGUACCAUUUAUAAGCUCCGGCUAACUACGUGCCAGCAGCCGCGGUAAUACGUAGGGAGCAAGCGUUGUUCGGAUUUACUGGGCGUAAAGGGCGCGUAGGCGGCGCGGUAAGUCACUUGUGAAAUCUCUGAGAUUAACUCAGAACGGCCAAGUGAUACUGCUGUGCUAGAGUGCGGAAGAGGCCACCGGAAUUCUUGGUGUAGCGGUGAAAUGCGUAGAUAUCAAGAGGAACACCUGAGGCGAAGGAGGGUAGCUGGGCCGACACUGACGCUGAUGCGCGAAAGCCAGGGGAGCAAAC
rnacentral:rRNA from 1 species